UUUUUUAGAAAUGAAUUUAAUUCAUACAUCUUAUUUAAUUUCUGUUGUUGGCUUAUUUAUUUUUAUUUGAUGUUAAAAUUAAGGGGGAUUAGCUCCUUAUUUUGUUUUUAUAAUUGUAUAUUUUGGUUUAGUUUUGUGGAUUUUAUAGUGAUUUUCAAUUUGAUUAUGUUAAAAUUUUAUUGUUUCUAUUUGUUAUUUUUAUGUAGUUUAAGUUUUUAUUGAAAUGUUUUUUGUAUUUUUGUUUGGAUGUUAAUUAUUGUGUAAUUAGUAAAUUUAUUUCUUGUAUUGUUUAUAUGAAUGUAUAAUUUCUUUUUAGGAAUUAGGCAAAGUUUUACAUGUCCGCCUGUUUAACAAAAACAUCUUUUCUUGUUAGUUUUUGAGGUAUGGCCUGCCCACUGACGUUUAUUUGGUUGAAGGGCCGCGGUAUUUUGACCGUGCAAAGGUAGCAUAAUCAUUAGUUCUUUAAUUGUGAUCUGGUAUGAAUGGCUUGACGAGACAUGAACUGUCUUGGAAGUAUUUCUUUAUUGAAUUUAGUCUUUGAGUUAAAAUUCUUAGAUGUUUUUAUGGGACGAGAAGACCCUAUAGAGUUUAACAUUUCCUCUAUCUUUUGUGUUAGUGUUUGUUUAUUUAUUUUAAGUUGAUUAAGUGUUUUGUUGGGGUGAUGGGAGGAAUAAAAUUUAACUCCUCUUUGGUUUGAUAUAUUUAUUUAUAUUUAUUUGGAUAC
rnacentral:rRNA from 1 species